UUCCAGGAGCCGGAAGUUCUGACCUGGCCUGGGUUGCUUCUUGGUUCCCGGCAUUUCUGUUGUCUUUAAUAUCUGCUCCCUCUCUUUAACCUUGGCCCCAAUAUGCUUUCAGUGACUUCACUGGGUUUUCCCCCUCAAUACACAACUUGUCUUUUCAACAGAAAUAAUUGAGAAAUACUGAGAAAUAUAAAGAAGAACAUUAGAAUUACCCAUAACCUCACGACUCAUAAAUAACUACUUUUAAACAUCUGUGUAUAUUUUUCCAGACCUUUUCUGUUGGGUUGAAAUCACGACUCAGUUCUUAUUGGCAAAGCAAGUUAGGGUUUAAAAGCUGAAGUUCUUAGAAUUUAGCUUCUUCUUCAGGAAAGUAGAAUGAUGCUAAUGUCUACUUUUCAGGUGAUGGGUUUUUUUAAAAAGCAUUUUUUCUUCCUCUGUUCCUAACCCCUUUAUUAUCAUCCAUUUUCUAUUGGAUUUUCACCCCUUACCAACCACCCCUCUUCUACCGGAUUUUCAGUUGCCUGCCUCCUGGUUCUGAUCUGACUAUCAGACGUAUAAUUCAGCUGUGACUCUCCAGGAAUAAGAGUUGAGAAGCCAACUGCAUUGAGCUCAGUGUUAAGACUCAGAACCAUCACCUCCCAGAGGGGUUAGGUGGCAGGGAGGACGCUGGUUUACCUGACAAGGGUGUGAGUCCUCCAGAAGGGCACAGGCGAAGUUCACUCCGGGAGCUGAAGGCGAAGCUUCUCCUGUUGUUUCCUCAAGAGCACUUUGCCUCUUCUGCAGUCUGGACCUUGGGGACUCUCGAUCCCUGGGGGCUCCCUGUUGACAUUGGUUUGUCACCUGUCUACUCCUCUCCUCUGCAGGACUCAUCUCCUCCAAAUCACGUGUCUCUUCUCUGCCUGACUUAUCUAGUAAUAAUGGUGGGAAAUUCAACAACAGACAGAGUAAAAAACCUGCAAAUGGAUAGCCAUCAAGCUCCUGCACGAUGUCAUUAUCAUCUGUGGUGAGCCAGACAGGUUCAUUAGUAAAUUCAGGAUCGAAGUUGUCCAAACCGAAUCCCUCACAGAUAUUUGGUUUGAAGGGAGGCACCAACUGCUUUUGCUCCAUCAUGUCCCAGUCCACAUUUUGAAAGAAUGGAUGCUCCUGAACAUCAGCAAAGCCCCUGUGAGGAUCACAACCCAGUCGUUCUUUUGGGUCCCUGUUCAGAAAAUUCUCCAGGACACUUGCUGCUUUUACAGACAGACAAGGAGGUAUGAAAAUGUCUCUUUCCAAAAUUACUUACAAGAGAUUCUCGAUUGAGACUCCAUAAAGGUUAUCUGAGCUCUCAUCAAGAUGGAAUGGAGACUCUCCGAUCAUCAUCAUAUACAUUAGCACUCCAAGAGCCCACCAGUCCACACUGAAACUGUAAUCUUCCUGUCUUAUAAUUUCUGGAGCCACGAAAUGAGGAGUGUCACAGAAAGGGUGGGUCGUGUCUCCUGGCUGUAAGCCUUCCUUACACAAGCAAUAAUUGGUGAGUUUAAUGUGCCCUUCUGAGUCCAGUAAUACAUUUUCCAAUUUUAAAUUUCUGUGAAGUAUCCCUCGCUGAUGAAGAUAGUUGAAUACUAAACAGAUUUCUGCAGAGUAAAACCUGGCAUGUUCUUUAGGAAGCGUUUUUUGUUGCUGCAUAUGAAACAUCAGAUCUCCACCAUUUACAUAGUCUACAACAAAGAACAGUCUGGUUUCUGUCUGGAAGCAAGAAUACAGUUCAACAAGAAGAGGACAAUUGGAUGCCUGCUGUAAAACGCGCUUCUCUCUCUGUACCUGAUCAAUGUUGACACGCUCUUUUUUCACUGCUUUUAUUGCAUACAUAUGACCUGAUUUUUUCAGUUGGACUAACAGUACUUUCCCAUAACUUCCUCUGCCAAUCACUCGGAGCAAAUCAAAGUCCCCAAGACCUAAACCAGAUGAAGCUUUGCCACCUUCCCUGGUGUUCCCUGCCUCAUUCUCUUCAUCUACUUGUUCUAAAGCCUCAUGAGUUGAAAGGUUAUGUGGGAUCGCUGAGUGUCCAGGGUCUGACGCCAUGGAUGACGGAUCGACUGGCACCAUGGGCUCUGAUGGUUAAAGAAUGCUGCCCACAUUCAACUGUGACAAGUUUGUGACACUUCUUGUGCACCGAGAGUUUACAGUUGGUGCACUUAUACAUCUGGCGGCCAAGUGCCCCUACACGGUCUGUGCAGACAGUACAGUGAGCUCGCCUGCUGAAGCAUUUGGCCUGAAAAGUGUGGCCAUUCACAUAAUACAGAUUUCUCCAGCAGCCUGAAGCUCUGUGGUGGAUGGAUUUCUCUUCUCCCGGACAAGGCACUUUAGGAUGUUCUGGUAUACAAGGCGAUGAAUGAAUUAAGAGCUCAGAAUCUUUCUUUAGCUCAGAAAGCCUAAUGGCCUCUUAACGCCAACUGAGGUGACACAGUAUAUGGGUCUCCUUCCUCCUCUACCCAGUGUGUGGUGGAAAGCUGUUUAUUGCCCAAACACCACACAUCUUGAUCUUUAUCACACAGGGCCUCAGAGGAAAUGGAAUUCUCAAGAGACCUUGUCAUGAUGUCACUUUCCAAAAUCAGGGCCGAUCGGGUAGAGGUGUGGGGGGGGGAGGUGCCCAGGAAGAAGGGACCAUAGACAAGUUGGCUGCCCAGGGAAACAGGCAGGCAGAGCUCAGAGAAUGAGAGUGACCUGACUGCCUGCAGGGAGCACACUGGCCAGAAUUCUGCAAGGCUGUCUGUGAAGCUGCUUCCAAUAGUGGCGGCCAGGCCUGGACGGAUGUACACCAGGCUUCUCAGUGUCUCUCGGGGGCCGAUGACUGUGACUUCAGUCUCCCCCACUGGACUUUGACUCUCUAGGUUUUUUGUGCCCAGCUCUGAGGAGACCUGCCCAGAGCUACUGGAUGUUCCUGGGCGUGGUGAUACUUGUCCCGCGCUUUUCCCAGUUUCUGUGCCGUUGGUAUUUGGGCUUAGGGAGACUUCACUGGAGUACCUUGGUUUUGGUAGAUCACUGGUGCUCACUCCUGCGGAGACCGUCCCUGGGGUGUCUGUGACAGUUGUGCGGCUGCUGCAGCAUGGCCUGUGGCGUCUGGGUGGAGCCAGCCAUCUUCUUAAUCUUUCACAGAUACUUUCUCUGCCUGGGGUCCUGAGGCUGCGGC
rnacentral:lncRNA from 1 species